rnacentral:lncRNA from 1 species
CCUCCACAUCAUCAAAGCCAAACCAAAUCUUCCCAAUCGAGCAGUAAUUCACCACAUAAGUUGAAUUGUACAUAACUUGAACAUUAGGACCAUAGGUCUUGAUGCGAUUCUUGAUUUCCUUAUAAGUCACAACGCCGUUAUCAUGCAAAGCUGGUCCUGUUGCUGCUGCACCAAUACCAUUGUCCUCUGGUUUCACAAGCGUCCAUGCAUAGCCAUAGAAAGGCAAAGACAUAACCAACUUAUCUGCCGAUAACCCUCUCUGUAUCCAUGCCUUUAAAACCUGAUCGGUACUUUUAGCAAAGCCGCCGCUACUUGAGCCAUGGAGAGCCGCAGGUGGCGCAGUGAAGUUUGUUGACAAAGGCUUGUAGUAGUUAGCAGUAACUGCAUGAACCCAAUUCAAGUUUCGUUGCAUCGAAUUCAAAAGAUAUGAAUUCGCUGGUGGUGAAUAACGAAAUCUUGCGGUCAAAAUCAGCGGGGAUUGCUGGCGACUAGAGUUUUUUGCCUCUAAUUUUGUAGCAGCAAUUCGCCACUCGUCAAAAAGUAAACCAAUAUUGAACAUAUCGGUGCUUGUGUUAGGAGCUGUCCAAGCAAAGUCUAGGCCCUGAAAGCCAUAAAGCCUAGCCAUUCUUAUUGAAGAGUCGAUGAAAGAUUCUCUGUGAGAAGAAUUUCUCACCAUUGAAGAAUAAAUAGAAUAGUUUGUAUCCAUUCCUUGUCCAAUGGAGAGAAGUAUAGUGAUUGAUGGGUUCUUUUUUUUCACAGUGUCUGCGAAUUUGGCGAUUUGAUUUUCAUCGGACGGUAAUGAUAAAGAUAGCUGGUAAGUGGUGGAAUUGAUAUCAGCAGAAGAGCAAAUAAGGUGAGUGAAGAGAUCAUAAUUUAUGCCCGAAAUGGUGGACACUUCGCUUAGAUUCAAGUAACCGACCCUAAUCCACGGUUUUGCUUUCGCGGGAUGAAGUUCUGAAUAGAGCAACGCGUGGAAGAUGAUGCUGAUAAUUAUGGAUGCCAUUUGAGACUUUGUUAGGAAUGGAAAUGGAUCCACAGGAGAGAAAUUAAAUAAACACUAGUUUCACAGUUCAUUUGAGUUCUUAUGUAAACUAUUAACGCAUAGGUUCAUUUCGUUCCAAAAAAAUCUUAUGUGCUCCUGAUAGGGACACAUACAUUGCAUGUUAAGAUGAUGAUAGGCUGAGAACUAAGAUUUUCUUCCAUCGCUUGGGUGACCUUUCAUGAAGAAAAAUGAUGUUUUGAUUUGCAUUUGGUUAAACUGAUGACAUAUUUCGGGCAAUAAAUAUCAGUAUUGUUUUAUUAAAUAAUAAAAAAAUUAAUUUUACAUGUACGUUGAAAGUUAAUAACUUAAUAUUGCAGUCUUUUGAGCCUGUGUUGACGUUUAUUCGGGUGUAUUCGUUUAUUAUAUAUUCCCGUUUUUCUCCCCGUGUCUGUUUUGCUACAGUGCUCUUAAAAGGAUAACAUCUUUAAUACACCUCAGAAGUAGUUAAGAAAGUCUUGAUAAAAAACCAGACAUUUUCUUUAUACUCAAAAAGUAGUUAUUGGACUAAUUAAGAUUCUAAUCCCUUUAAGAAAUAUUCAAAAGGGGUUAUUGUCACUACUUUAGUCCUUGUUGUUUUAUUUCAAAAGUUAUUUCACACUAGUGUUUAAUAUAAGAUACAAUACUACCAAAAUUCUACUCAAUAGUUUAUUUAAAAUAGUAUUGACUAUUAAAAAUAAGAAUUUACACUAAUAUUAAAUUCAACAAUUAGUAACAUUAUUUAAAAUAAUUAUAGUAUUUAAAUGGUUAUUUAUCUUUAUUAAAUAAGAUUUAACAUAAUCCUCUGCGACAUUUUACUAAAUAAGUACAGUUUUAUAUAUAAUUCAAUCUAAUCGUAAAAAAUAAUUUAUUCCAAUCCUACCUUCCAAACAUAGACAUAGUAGACAAUGAGAGCAUGAGUUAAGAGAUUAUAAAUCAUGGACCAAGGGACUAAAGAUACGGACCUUGAGAUCAUAUAUCGUGGACUAUUAGAGACUAAUGACCGUGGACAAAUCUUAGUACAUAAAAAAGGGAAUUUUAGUCAAAUGUAGUUUGAUAUUAAGGAAUUCAGCAAGCAAGCUACAAGAAUAUCCAAAAGCGUGUAAUUUAUGUUUAAGGAAAUAAGUGGAGAUAGAGAUGAAAUUGCAAAUUCAUCCCAAUCUUAAGUGGUUUAAUUCAAGAUGUAUGUUACCUACAAGCACAGUAAGCACGGUGAUGUCUCUCUUUAACACAGGGGACACAACAAAAACACUGUUAUUUUCUACCCUUUUAAAAAAUUCCAAUAAUAUGUACACGUUAUACAUACAUGCAUCACAUACGUGCGUCGAUCAUCGAUGUAAAACUAACAGCAAAUUUCUAGUAAAACAAACAUCAUUACUUUUAGUAGAAGAUAUAAAAAAUAUCAAUUAGUAACCAUUAGAAAAUAAAAAUUUAUGUAAUUGAUGCAGAUAAAUGGAAUCAAGUAGUAACAUUUCCUUCUCUUUGAAGAGAAAAGAUUAAAAACAAAAAGGGGGGCGGAGCGCAAACAUGACAAUUUUUUUUAUCCGCACAUGCCAUGAUAAUCGAUAAUCCGAUAUACCAACCGCGUCUAAUUGUCUGAAUUCUCCAGCUUAUCAAGCUUGCUCAAUUGCACCGACAGACACUGACCAUGGGAGAUUAAUCACCACUCGCAGUAUUAGAUGCGUGAAGGACACAUUCGCCAAUAAUUUAUAGCGGACAGUAGCAUUCCCCAUGCCGCACGGAGAAAAAUAGUUGGAUUUGCGUAAGUUAAAUUGACUUGACUCGAAUGGUGGUGGUUGCUGUUAAGCGGUCAGUACUUCUGGCGACUGCUUGGCUUACACGCAGUUCUUGGGGGUGUCAUUUGACUGUGAAAAAGAAUUUUGGCUUUAUUGAUAUCAUGUUGGCUUUGGAAUUUUGGAUGGCUUCGUUUGGACCAUAAGACACGAUAUCGUUCAUAACACGUUAGCAGUCCUUCUCACGGGAGAAAAACUGGGGUGGGGGCAGAUGUACCGUAUCAACUGCCGUUUAGCAAGUCCUGCUCUCGUAUGGAGUCACCACUUUGACCAGCACUUUAUCCCUUAUGGACCGAUCCGGUGCGAGCAGGGAUUGGUCUGGGUUGUGGUACGAGUUUAAAAGUGUCUCCCACAAUUGGGGUCCACUCAAGACCACCUCGUGGUUCAGACCACAAACAAAAUUGUCGUUUAGCAGAUCAUAUGAGUCCUCAAAGUGUCACUUACAAUUUUUUUUAUUAUAAAUGACUGUCAAAUAAUUAAUCAAAAUUUUAUUAUUUACGGUUAUAAUUAGAAUGAUAAAAGUUGUACAGUUACAUCCACAUAUAAGUUUAUCUUUAAAGGAUAGGGGCAAUGAAUAUAACCGUAUAAGUUAUAACCUCAUAUAAGUUUCUUUCUUCUUAUGGAUAUAACUGUAUAUGGGUGGCGUUAUAUAGUGCCCCACAGAGGCUCUUUAAAAUUAUUUUAUGUACAUUUUAAACAUUCCCUCUUUAUUGAUUUGAAACACCAAAAAUACCUCUCUUAAAUUUUAAAAAUAUAUAAAAUAAAAAAAAUUACAUGUUAAAACUAUGCUUGAUGUCUCUAGCCUAACAGUUAGCACACGUAUUGUACACUUUCACCUUUUUCUUCUCAAAUUUUUUACUCCUCUUUUCUCUAAUUCUUCACACUUCGCUACUAUCUCUAGAAGCUUAUUACUAAUUUUCUGAUCAAAUUACUUAUAUAAGUACUCUUAGUUGAUUAUCACUUCUUUAAUUUUUUUUGGAGAUUUCUCUUAAAUGAAAGAAUUAAGGUUAUGUUCUAGAAAAUUUUUAACUCCCAUAUUAUAGUUUUGAUAAUGAGAUUAUCCUUAAAUUUUCAACAUAUGAAAAUACUUCGAAACAACUAUAAAUGUGUUGAAUGAAAUAUUCUAAUAAAUUUAGAUUUUAGUACUUAUUAUUUAUUAAUUUUUUUUUAAAUUACAUUACUAAUUACUACUUGAGCUUAGCCCUUGUGACAUUAAAUUGCUGAUAGCGCCACUAAAUGUAAGUUUUAAACUCAUGUUCGAUUUCUCCCAUGUGUAAACUCUGCCUUUAAUUUAUUAUUUAGUGAUAUUACAUUGCAUUAAUUAAUACAAUACAAAUUGUUUACUAACAGAGCCUCAAGAGAGUAAUUUAUUAUUUAGUUGGCAAAUUAAACAACUGCAGCAGUCACUAGCAGCUGGCCAAGAGCUAGCAUAGAUCAAUUGUUCAUCUACCUACCACUUGUGAAAUUGUUACAUCAUUACUUGAACAUAUUUCCAAUCCAAUCGUGGUUUUGUUUUGUUCGUCUUCAAAAGCUUUGUUUGAGAAACUCGCAGGCUUCUUUGGAGUCAUUAUAUCAGCUGUAUUCUCAUUUUCGAGCAUCGAAGAAAUUUCCAGUAUAGAAGGUCUAUCGUUUGGGUUCUCCUGAACACAUAGCAAAGCUACUUGGAGACAUGUCAAUAAUUUCCACGAGGAAUUCGUUUCAUCUAGUGAUGGAUCCAUUAACUCCACGCCUUUCCCAUUCUUCCACAACUCGUAUGCCUGAAAACAUCAAAUAUGUUAUUGAGUUACAUUCAAUUGAUUAGCACUAUAAUGUUUUGAUUCAGUGUGUAUUAGAAAGGGGGUUAUGAAGAAACUUACAUACUCUACAAGGCUUAAAUUUUCAUUUUGACCAUAUCGAAUGAAAAGUCUUCUUCCACUUAUAAUUUGUAGAAUCAAAACUCCAAAACUGUAGACAUCAGAUUUAGUGGAGUAGACGCCUCUUCCAACAUAUUCAGGAGGAAUAUAGCCUCUGUAGUAUCGAGUAAUUACAAAUAUUACUAAAACUAUUUGACGUAAAAGAUUAAGUUGAUUGGUAAAGGUUCGACAAUAAUAUUAAAGACAAGUCGGAAAAAAAAAGACAAAUAUAUACUUACUGUGUUCCAACAAUUCGAUUUGUUUUUGCUUCAAGAUCAUCUUUCACAAAAAUUCUAGCCAAGCCAAAAUCAGAUAUUUUAGGUUUCAACUCUUCAUCCAACAAAAUAUUACUAACUUUUAAGUCUCGAUGAAUAAUUGUUAAUCUAGAAUAUUCUUGGAGAUAGAGAAGCCCCUGAAUAAUUCCUUGAAUGAUAUGAAUACGUUUUUUCCAAUCCAAAAUAAGCCUUCUGAUGGGAUCUGCAUCAAAUGUAAAUAUAGUUGGACGGUCAGUACCAUUAGCAUUUGGAGACGAGAAAUGCAAAUUGAGGCACAAAAAUUAGAAAUUAAGCAGUUAAGCACAUACCAAAAAGGAAAUAGUCUAAGCUUCGUUUUGGCAUAUACUCAUAGAUGAGCAUAUAUUCUUGUGUGUCAAUGCAAAAACCCAAAACUCUGAUCAGAUUUACGUGUUGAAGCUUUGCAGUAAGCAUAACCUCAUUCUUGAACUCCUCAAAUCCUUGUGUGGAUGUCUUCGAGAGUUUCUUCACUGCUAUUAUUUGUCCAUCAGAUAAUACACCCUGCAAACACGCCCCAAAAUGUUUUUUUUUAAAAGCACUAUGUUCACACACACACACACACACAAACACACGUAGCUUGCACUAAUUAAUUAAUAAGCUUAGAGAUAACCAAGCUACCGAUACAUAACCUUGUAAACAGGACCAUAUCCACCCUCCCCGAGCUUAUUUUCAAUUGAAAAUCUAUCCGUGGCCACCUCAAUAUCAGCCAAGCUAUAUUCUCUGAGAUCAGGAUCAUUGCUGUUAAAAUCUCCAGCAUCUGCUUGACUAUUUGCGCUGUCCUUUGAUGCUUUGGCUGAGUCAAUUACGGUCCAAUUAAUAUCAACCAAGAGAAAGAAAGCUAAUUUAAGUAAAUUGCCCACUUCUUCAUCUGUGUUAAAUGGAAUAGAAGUAAAAAUAUUCCUAAUCCCGUGCAGAAGAAGUUACCUUCUAAUUUGAGGUUUUUCAUCCAGCAGUAGUAAUACAGCAAAAAGCCUAUUAGAAGAAUACAAGCUGUAGUUAUAGGCAAAACAAUUGCCCAUAAUAGCCGCUUAUUUUGUCGAUUCCUUUUAUCCUCUUCAGCUGAAAAGUCAAAUCACUUUGUGUUAUUUAACCACUGAUGGUCAAAUAAAGAUCUUAAUUGAAGUCAUUAUGCAGAGAAGUGAUCGAAUGGGUAGCAGGCAGUGAGUGAGGCUUUGCAUUUGCUUACCUGCAGCUUGAGAAAGCAUCCAAUAAUGAUCACUGGAAACUUCCCACACAUAGUAACCACGUAGCUUCUUCUCCUUGGCAUAUGCAACCUUCACUCUAACGGCCUCGACAUCAUCAAAACCAAACCAAAUCUUCCCAAUCGAGCAGUAAUUCACGACAUAAGUUGAAUUGUACAUUACUUGAACAUUAGGACCAUAGUUCUUGAUGUGAUUCUUGACUUCCUUAUAAGUCACAAGGCCAUCAUCAUGCAAAGCUGGUCCUGUUGCUGCUGCGCCAAUGCCAUUGUCCUCAGGUUUCACAAGCGUCCAUGCAUAGCCAUAGAAAGGCAAACAUAAAACCAAUUUAUCAGCCGAUAACCCUUCCUCAAUCCAU